rnacentral:rRNA from 1 species
CGAACGUUAUCCGGAAUUAUUGGGCGUAAAGGGUGCGUAGGUGGCCUGACAAGUUAUCAGUGGCAAAUCGAGGCUCAACCUCGUGGAAACUGGUAAUACUGUCCGGCUUGAGUACAGGAGAGGUUAACGGAACUCUAUGUGGAGCGGUAAAAUGCAAAGAUAUAUAGAAGAACAUCAAUAACGGCGAAGGCAGUUAACUAUUCUGUUACUGACACUGAGGCACGAAAGCGUGGGGAGCAAAACGG